rnacentral:rRNA from 1 species
CCUACGGGUGGCUGCAGUGAGGAAUAUUGGUCAAUGGGCGCGAGCCUGAACCAGCCAAGUAGCGUGAAGGAUGACUGCCCUACGGGUUGUAAACUUCUUUUAUACGGGAAUAAAGUGAGGCACGUGUGCCUUUUUGUAUGUACUUUAUGAAUAAGGAUCGGCUAACUCCGUGCCAGCAGCCGCGGUAAUACGGAGGAUCCGAGCGUUAUCCGGAUUUAUUGGGUUUAAAGGGAGCGUAGAGGGGUUGUUAAGUCAGUUGUGAAAGUUCGCGGCUCAACCUUAAAAUUGCAAUUGAUACUGGCAGUCUAGAGUGCAGUUGAGGUAGGCGGAAUGCGUGGUGUAGCGGUGAAAUGCUUAGAGAUCACGAAGAACUCCGAUUGCGAAGGCAGCUUACUAAACUGCCACUGACGUUGAUGCACGAAAGUGUGGGUAUCAAACAGGAUUAGAUACCCGAGUAGUC